GUGGGGAAUCUUGCGCAAUGGGCGAAAGCCUGACGCAGCCAUGCCGCGUGAAUGAUGAAGGUCUUAGGAUUGUAAAAUUCUUUCACCGGGGACGAUAAUGAUGGUACCCGGAGAAGAAGCUCCGGCUAACUUCGUGCCAGCAGCCGCGGUAAUACGAAGGGGGCUAGCGUUGCUCGGAAUUACUGGGCGUAAAGGGCGCGUAGGCGGACAGCUUAGUCAGAGGUGAAAGCCCAGGGCUCAACCUUGGAAUUGCCUUUGAUACUGGCUGUCUUGAGUGUGGGAGAGGUGAGUGGAACUCCGAGUGUAGAGGUGAAAUUCGUAGAUAUUCGGAAGAACACCAGUGGCGAAGGCGACUCACUGGCCCAAUACUGACGCUGAGGCGCGAAAGCGUGGGGAGCAAACAGGAUUAGAAACCCGAGUAGUCC
rnacentral:rRNA from 1 species